rnacentral:lncRNA from 1 species
CCACACCAUCCAACAUGUCAUGAUAGGGUGCGGCUUCGCCAUCUGAUCUCCCCCAUCCAUGCCUCCGCCUCCUCUGGCUAUCCCUUGUAUCUCGCCAAUAUCCUAGAUUUCGUGGCUAGGGUUUUCCACGUUCUUCCUCUCCCUUUCUUCUCUACCGCUGCUGUUUCGGAGAUUGCCAAAUCCGAGUUUGACACUUCGGCCGAGCUUGCCGCUUAUCGGAGGU